AUUGAACGCUGGCGGAAUGCUUUACACAUGCAAGUCGAACGAUGAAGUCUAGCUUGCUAGACGGAUUAGUGGCGAACGGGUGAGUAAUAUAUCGGAACGUAUCCAUUAAUGGGGGAUAACUAGUCGAAAGAUUGGCUAAUACCGCAUACGUCCUACGGGAGAAAGCUGGGGAUCGUAAGACCUGGCGUUAAUGGAGCGGCCGAUAUCUGAUUAGCUAGUUGGGGAGGUAAAGGCUCACCAAGGCGACGAUCAGUAGCUGGCCUGAGAGAACAACCGGCCACACUGGAACUGAGACACGGUCCAGACUCCUACGGGAGGCAGCAGUGGGGAAUUUUGGACAAUGGGCGAAAGCCUGAUCCAGCCAUUCCGCGUGAGUGAAGAAGGCCUUCGGGUUGUAAAGCUCUUUCGCAAGGGAAGAAAACUUAUCCUCUAACUUAGGGUGAGGUUGACGGUACCUUGAUAAGAAGCACCGGCUAACUACGUGCCAGCAGCCGCCGUAAGAC
rnacentral:rRNA from 1 species